UGGGGAAUAUUGCACAAUGGGCGCAAGCCUGAUGCAGCGACGCCGCGUGAGGGAUGACGGCCUUCGGGUUGUAAACCUCUUUCAGUACAGAACAAGGCCUUCGGGUUGAGGGUAUGUGCAGAAGAAGCGCCGGCUAACUACGUGCCAGCAGCCGCGGUAAUACGUAGGGCGCGAGCGUUGUCCGGAAUUAUUGGGCGUAAAGAGCUCGUAGGCGGUUUGUCGCGUCUGCCGUGAAAUCCUCUGGCUUAACUGGGGGCGUGCGGUGGGUACGGGCAGACUGGAGUGCGGUAGGGGAGACUGGAAUUCCUGGUGUAGCGGUGGAAUGCGCAGAUAUCAGGAGGAACACCGGUGGCGAAGGCGGGUCUCUGGGCCGUUACUGACGCUGAGGAGUGAAAGCAUGGGGAGCGAACAG
rnacentral:rRNA from 1 species